CCCCUUGCAAUUCACCCAUGACGGCCCUACUUUAAUCUUGUCCUUCGGGACUAUGGACAUAAACGCGCUCGUAAUAAGCGGUUCGGACCCGGGGGCGGUACCCGGCGGCUCCACCAAAAGCAGGUUCAGGCACUCACAGGCCUGUUUCUGACGGGGCCGAAACAGGAUCGA
rnacentral:tmRNA from 1 species